UACGAAGGGGGCAAGCGUUAUUCGGAAUGAUUGGGCGUAAAGGACACGUAGGCGGUUUUGUAAGUUUUGGGUGAAAUCCCCGGGCUCAACCCGGGAACUGCUCAAGAUACUGCAAGACUUGAGUAUGGGAGAGGAUAGUGGAAUCUUUGGUGUAGAGGUGAAAUUCUUAGAUAUCAGAGAGAACGUCGGUGGCGAAAGCGACUAUCUGGAACAUUACUGACGCUGAGGUGUGAAGGCGUGGGGAGCAAAUCGG
rnacentral:rRNA from 1 species